rnacentral:rRNA from 1 species
GACGAACGCUGGCGGCGUGCCUAAUACAUGCAAGUUGAGCGCUGAAGGUUGGUACUUGUACCCACUGGAUGAGCAGCGAACGGGUGAGUAACGCGUGGGGAAUCUGCCUUUGAGCGGGGGACAACAUUUGGAAACGAAUGCUAAUACCGCAUAAAAACUUUAAACACAAGUUUUAAGUUUGAAAGAUGCAAUUGCAUCACUCAAAGAUGAUCCCGCGUUGUAUUAGCUAGUUGGUGAGGUAAAGGCUCACCAAGGCGAUGAUACAUAGCCGACCUGAGAGGGUGAUCGGCCACAUUGGGACUGAGACACGGCCCAAACUCCUACGGGAGGCAGCAGUAGGGAAUCUUCGGCAAGAGACGAAAGUCUGACCGAGCAACGCCGCGGGAGUGAAGAAGGUUGUCGGGUCGUAAAACUCUGUUGGUAGGGAAGAACGUUGGUGAGAGUGGAAAGCUCAUCAAGUGACGGUAACUACCCAGAAAGGGACGGCUAACUACGUG